UUGUACCUCUAAGUAAUGAUCUAUUUGUAAAAAAUUUUCUACAGCGCCUCUUGAAUUAGAGAUCAAUUUAAUGCAUUCUGAGAAAUUAGUAAAUUUUUAACGUAUUUCUAGUUGAAAUAUUGGGUUCUUUCAGGCAAGUAUAUGUAUACCCUAAACUUUCUUUGGAAGUUCUGGAUCCUAGCAACUAUAAUAUAAAAACUUUGAAUUCAUUUGUACAUGACGAAAUGAGAUAGCCACGAUAGGUGUUAGAGGACUUUUACCCAGUGGAGGAACAUGUUUUACUCUGCUGCAUUGGUCUUUUUUUUUUUUUUUUCCUUUCUUUUUGAGACAGGGUCUCACUGCCACCCAGGCUGGAGUGCAGUGAUGCGAUCAUGGCUCACUGCAGCCUUGACCUCUUGGGCUCAAGCAGUCCUCCUGCCUCAGCCUCCCAAGUAACUGGGGCCACAGGCAUGCACCACCACACCUGGCUAAUUUUUAAAUUUUUAUAGAGAUGAGGUCUCACCAUGUUGGCCAGGCUAGUCUCAAGCUCCUGGGCUCAAGCGAUCCUCCUGCCUGGGCCUUCCAAAGUGCUGGGAUUACAGAUAUGAGCCGUGGUGCCCAGCCUUGCAUUGGUCUUAUAACUCAAUAAUGUACGUGAAAUUAUUGUAUAUGCCUUCUUGUAUAUGAGAAUUACCACUUCUACAUAUAUAUUGGAGGGCAAGUCAAGUAAGUGUGACAAACAUUUUUCACUAGGCUAGGCCAACUCAUGUCUGUGUUCAUGUUGAGAAGUAAUUCUAUAGAUAAGGCAGAAGAGCAGACAAACUCAGGAUACAAGUGUGCAAAGAUGUAUAACAGACAUGUUGAUCAUUGUAUCAUAGCAUUUUUAUAAUAGCGAAAGAAAGAAAAGAAAGGGGAAGAGGGAAAAUGAAAAAGAAAAAAACAGAAAAGAUUCAUAUGCCCAGGAAAAAAGUCUGGGAGAGUAUGUACCAAAAAAUGUUUAAAAACUUUGAUUACAAUGGUUUUGCAUGGGUGAUGAUGUCAUAGUGGUUUUUGAUUUUGAGGUCUUUUAUUUGUCUAUAUUUAAAAAGUUUUCCAUUGAUAAUUUUUGCAAUGAAACAGGUAUUUUAAUGGAAAUUAUAGGUGUAGAUGAUAUGUGGAAUGUUUAUGCUAGUCAGAAUUUUUGGUGAAGAUAACAGAAAUUUACCUUGACCAACACAAGAAAAAGGCAAUUUUUAUAAGUCUGUCACAGAACCAAAGAACAAGGUCCAGGAAAGAAGAAGCCAGGGAAGCUGGCAAUUUGGAGCACAGCCAAGAUGGUCCCUGCCCUAGGUAAAGUCUUCAGAGGACCUCACACCUCAGAAGUCAUCUCUGCUAUGGGCUGUGAAUCCCACCAUACCUACAAUGAUCUCAGCAUCCUGCCUUUUUGUGUCACUCCCUCGAGGUUCAAAGCCCUUGGCAAGAACAUUUGCAGAUGCCCCAGCUGUCAGAGAGAAAAGAUUAUCUUCCUCCUUUAGCUUCCACAGUGGGAUGUGUGACCCUGCCUCCUGCCUAUUUUAGGACUCUGCCUAAACUAAGUGUUCUGGUGCUAGGUGACCAAAACCAAAAAUCCACGAACAUGUUCUAACAAAAUAAUGCUGUGAAGGUUUCCUGAUGAUCCAUGUUACUCCCAUAGUAUCUCCCCUCUUCCUCCCUACUACUUACCAGCAAGAGACCGUACCACCUAUUUAGGAUCAAUGUAAAGCAGAGCUAAUAUCUGAAAUCCCAGUUUCUUUUCAAAUGCUUCCCUUUCCAAAUUUGAAGCCAGAAGAAACAAUGUAUCACUGCUGAUGUCAAUAAGACUUCCUUGGCUGGGCACCGUGGCUCACACCUGUAAUCCCAGCACUUUUUGAGACCGAGGUGGGCAGAUCAGUUGAGGUCAGGAGUUCAAGACCAGCCUGGCCAACAUGGUGAAACCCCAACUCUACUAAAAAUACAAAAGUUAGCUCAGUGUGGGGGCACACGCCUGUAAUCCCAUCUACUUGGGAGGCUGAGGCAGGAGGAUCGCUUGAACCUGGGAAGUGGAGGUUGCAACUAGCCAAGAUGGUGCCACUGCACUCCAGCCUGGGUGACAGAGUUAGACUCCGUCUCAAAAAAAAAAAAAAAAAAAAAAAAAAAAAAAAAAAAAAAAAAAGACUCUACCGCAGCAAAACUGGUGAUAAUCUUAAAAUUUGGAAAGGAAAUGUCCCUAGUAAAGAUAUUUGAUUUAAAUUACAAGGAAUUUAGUUCUAAGGGAUAAUCGACAUAUUUCAUAAAUAAAUGCAGAUAUCUCUAGAUAUCAAAUGAUAAAAGAUCUUGAGCAGUGAUGGAUUACUGCUAAUGGGUUUCUGUCUGCUACUCUGAGCACAGUUCAGGCUCAAGAACUGACAUGAAGGGUUUGAGAAUUUAGUCAAAAUCUGGAAGUAGGCAGGUGGUCACAGGCUAACUAAGAGUUCAUAACCGGAUGCAGUCGUUGAAGGACAAUUGUGAAGAAAAAAUGCUGAUGGUGAAACGAAUGCAAAAACCACAAACACAUUGAAGAGGCCUAUGUUCCUGGGAACAAAGAGGAAGGUUAUCAAUGAUGUGCUUGUAGAAAACAUAUUAAUACUGGAAUAUUGUCUUCUUUCCCAUCAUUUCAGGUCAGUUAGCUUAGAUUACUAUUCAGCUAGAAAAAACAAAUGAUACCCUUGCAAGGACUCUGAACAAUAUUGGAAUUCAGCUGUUUUGUUUCUAAUAAAACAUGGUUUAACUGUUACAUGAAUAGAAGUUCCUUAUAAGUGCCAAUUACUUCUUUCCAGAGAAGCAGUGCUAAAGAUUCUGUUCAUUGGUACACUAAGUGUUCUUCAUGACCCAGUGUUUUAUUUCCUAUAAGUUAGCUUUUUUUCUCAGAUGAUUUAAUGAAAAUUAUGGCAGUCUGCUCAUUGUUCAGCAAAAUCCAUUUCCUCUUCUCCUUGAACACAAAGCUUGACUAUGUUUCCUAGAUGGCCCUUGCAGUUAGUUGGGGCCAUGUGACUGGGUUCUAGCUUGUUGAUUAUAAGUGGAAGUGAUGCUGCCACUUAAAGGCUUGAAAGUGCCACUGCAUACUGACUGAGAUGCAGUGGAAGCCCUGUGUUUAUGAGGUGGACCCCCUCUCAGGCUGAAAUGUCUCUUAAGAGUCAUUUCAGCAACCUAUUUACUUGCCCACCAAGAGAGAAAUUGUGACUAAGAAACUUUUAUGGGGCUGUGCCAUUAUAUGCUUGUAUCCAUUUGUUACUGUAGCCUAUGCUAGUAACUAACACAAUAAUAAAGGUUUUUUUCAGUCUUAGUUUUCUAUUCAUUUGUAGACCAAUUGUAAAUGUGAAUAUUGUAUUUCCAUUGUAUCUUGGCUUACAUGUUCAAAGCACCAUAAAACAGAUAAAAGGAUUAUAUUAACAAGUACUUAAUGUAGAAAAGAUCAGUGCAAGGGAGUCUAUGGAAUAACAUGCAAAUAUGUCUCUUUCCCCCAAACUUAGUGCUUGGCUCAUAGUAAGUAUAAAAUAAAUGCCUGUUGUUUCAUCAAUAAGUAGUCCUCCCCUCUCAAGCUGCAGACUGACAUUUUAAUUGCUCAUUGGACAUUUCCAAACAGGUAUCUUACAGGAACAAACCACAUGACAUUUCCAAAACGAAUCUCUUCCUUGCCAGCCUCUGCCUACUCUGCCUCCACCAAACUACCUUUAUCCUUCUGGCUCUCCUGUUUUGAUUAAUGGUACCCUUGGAAUUGUCCUCUGUUGACUCCCAUAACCAAAUGGUUAACUCGUCCUCUAAAUUUCCAACUACCUUUCCUCCUAUCAGCCCCACUUUUUCACCACUCUAUCCAAGCAAGCUCGCCCCACCCUUUCUCAUGUCUAAAUUGGCACCGUGUGCUAAGAGUUCCCAGGCUUUGGGUUUUCUCACCAAUAACAUUUAAAAAAAGGGUUUAGGACCAACAUAGAAUUCCCAACUUUUAAUUUUGCCAGAUAAAGACAUUCUUUAAAAAACUUAUCUUUUAUUGUUCUAUAGACUAUUUUUAAAAUGGCAAUGUAGGGAGGACUCAGCUUUAGAAUAUAGGACACUCCUCUACAUUGAAUUUAAUUUUAUGAGAAUUCACUACCUUGUUCAAGAUUGAGUAGUUGGAAACUCUUGUCUAGAUCAGCACUGGCCCUGAGGUCUUGAUGUGGUUUUGUGGCCAGAUGAAUGUUUCUGAGUUCCAGUUCCAGUGCUCCUCCGGUCAACAACAGCCUCUCUGGUUCCCUGUGGCCUGCUUUCCCCCACCUGGCAUUAAAACUCCCCAAAGAAGGCCUCAUACUACCUUCCAGUGUUAUCUCUAAUUUCCAGGCAAAUUAGACCUUCUGUUAUUCCUUUUUCUUUUCUAUCUUUGACUAUGCAGUUCUUGCACCUGUACAGUCUAUCCUUUUUUCCCCACCACGCAAAAUUCUACCCAAAAUUUAAGACCACAUUUGAUAUCAUUGCCUCCUUUGAAACCUUUGAUGAUCCAUUUUACCCACACAAACAAGAGCUUUCCUCUCCUUGAACUUGCAUAACAUGGUAAAGUAUAGCACGUGGCUGCUUUCUUCCACAUGCUGUGCUUAUUUACCUCUCCCACAAAAUUACAAUAAAUCCUUAAAGAUAAGAAAAAUGUUUGAUUCAUUU
rnacentral:lncRNA from 1 species